rnacentral:rRNA from 1 species
GUGGGAAUAUUGCACAAUGGGCGAAAGCCUGAUGCAGCAACGCCGCGUGAGGGACGACGGCCUUCGGGUUGUAAACCUCUUUUAGUAGGGAAGAAGCGAAAGUGACGGUACCUGCAGAAAAAGCACCGGCUAACUACGUGCCAGCAGCCGCGGUAAUACGUAGGGUGCAAGCGUUAUCCGGAAUUAUUGGGCGUAAAGAGCUCGUAGGCGGUCUGUCGCGUCUGCUGUGAAAACUGGAGGCUCAACCUCCAGCCUGCAGUGGGUACGGGCAGACUAGAGUGCGGUAGGGGAGAUUGGAAUUCCUGGUGUAGCGGUGGAAUGCGCAGAUAUCAGGAGGAACACCGAUGGCGAAGGCAGAUCUCUGGGCCGUAACUGACGCUGAGGAGCGAAAGCGUGGGGAGCGAACAGGAUUAGAUACCCUUGUAGUCC